GCGCUUGGAAUAAAAGCUUAAUCAUGUGGUCUCAACCUUCUCUCAUAGGUAAUGCCAUACCGGUUUAACAGAGGUGGAGACUCAUCUAUCACAACAGGCAGACUAUACGAUAAAGGAUUCGAUUCAACCGACUCAAAAUAAGGAAAAGGAAAAAUCGAGUCAAUCGUCACCGGAAACGGACGACCGGAGGGUGGCGUGUAGCCUUCACGCGCCGGAGAGUGGGGGCACGUGGUAGGGAUAAAAAUAUGGUUUUGAAUCAAGCUCUAGAUAUC
rnacentral:lncRNA from 1 species